rnacentral:rRNA from 1 species
GUAUUAAAGGCAACGCUGCCCAGUGAGAAAUUAAACGGCCGCGGUACCCUAACCGUGCAAAGGUAGCAUAAUCAUUUGUCUAUUAAUUGUAGACCUGUAUGAAAGGCAAAAUGAGAGCCCAACUGUCUCUUAUAACAAAUCAAUUAAACUGAUCUUCUAGUACAAAAGCUAGAAUACCACCAUAAGACCAGAAGACCCUGUGAAGCUUUAACUAACCUAUUAAACCUAAUAAUAGCCACUUUAGGUUGGGGCGACCUUGGAAUAAAAAAGAACUUCCAAUCUAUGACUUCCUCAUAAACUAAGGCAAACAAGCCAACACCAGACCCAGUAUAACUGAUAAUUGAAAUAAGUUACUCCAGGGAUAACAGCGCUAUCUUCUUUAAGAACCCAUAUCAAAAAGAAGGUUUACGACCUCGAUGUUGGAUCAGGACACCCCAGUAAUGCAACCGUUACUAAAGGUUCGUUUGUUCAACGAUUAACAGUCCUACGUGAUCUGAG